GACGAACGCUGGCGGCGUGCUCCAUGCAUGCAAGUCGAGGGAGAACCAUUUCGUUCGUAAGAUCGAGAUGGGGAAACCGGCGAACGGGUGCGUAACACGUGAGAAACCUGCCCUGAAGAUCGGGAUAGCCCGGGGAAACCCGGAUUAAUACCGAAUACCUUCUUUGGAUCGCAUGAUCCGUUGAAGAAAUGCUCUGGUGCUUCAGGAUGGUCUCGCGGCCUAUCAGCUUGUUGGUGAGGUAACGGCUCACCAAGGCUCCGACGGGUAGCUGGUCUGAGAGGACGAUCAGCCACACUGGGACUGAGACACGGCCCAGACUCCUACGGGAGGCAGCAGCAGGGAAUAUUGCACAAUGGGCGCAAGCCUGAUGCAGCAACGCCGCGUGCGGGAUGAAGGCCUUCGGGUUGUAAACCGCUUUCAGUAGGGAAGAAAAUGACGGUACCUACAGAAGAAGCCCCGGCCAACUACGUG
rnacentral:rRNA from 1 species